AUUGAACGCUGGCGGCAUGCUUUACACAUGCAAGUCGAACGGUAACAGGUUAAGCUGACGAGUGGCGAACGGGUGAGUAAUGCAUCGGAACGUGCCCGGUCGUGGGGGAUAACGCAGCGAAAGCUGCGCUAAUACCGCAUACGAUCUGAGGAUGAAAGCGGGGGACCGUAAGGCCUCGCGCGAUCGGAGCGGCCGAUGUCAGAUUAGGUAGUUGGUGGGGUAAAGGCUCACCAAGCCGACGAUCUGUAGCUGGUCUGAGAGGACGACCAGCCACACUGGGACUGGGACACGGCCCAGACUCCUACGGGAGGCAGCAGUGGGGAAUUUUGGACAAUGGGCGCAAGCCUGAUCCAGCAAUGCCGCGUGCAGGAAGAAGGCCUUCGGGUUGUAAACUGCUUUUGUACGGAGCGAAAAGGCUCUCUCUAAUACGGAGGGCUCAUGACGGUACCGUAAGAAUAAGCACCGGCUAACUACGUGCCAGCCGCCGCUGUAACAC
rnacentral:rRNA from 1 species